rnacentral:rRNA from 1 species
GUGGGGAAUAUUGGGCAAUGGGCGAAAGCCUGACCCAGCAACGCCGCGUGAAGGAAGAAGGUCUUCGGAUCGUAAACUUCUAUCCUUGGUGAAGAUAAUGACGGUAGCCGAGAAGGAAGCCCCGGCUAACUACGUGCCAGCAGCCGCGGUAAUACGUAGGGGGCAAGCGUUGUCCGGAAUGAUUGGGCGUAAAGGGCGCGUAGGCGGCCUGGUAAGUCUGGAGUGAAAGUCCUGCUUUUAAGGUGGGAAUUGCUUUGGAUACUGUCGGGCUUGAGUGCAGGAGAGGUAAGUGGAAUUCCCGGUGUAGCGGUGAAAUGCGUAGAGAUCGGGAGGAACACCAGUGGCGAAGGCGAUCUGCUGGACAGCAACUGACGCUGAGGCGCGAAAGCGUGGGGAGCAAACAGGAUUAGAUACCCUUGUAGUCC